CCUACGGGCGGCUGCAGUGGGGAAUAUUGGACAAUGGGCGAAAGCCUGAUCCAGCCAUGCCGCGUGUGUGAAGAAGGCCUUCGGGUUGUAAAGCACUUUCAGUGGGGAAGAAAGCCUUGGGGCUAAUACCCUCGAGGAAGGACAUCACCCACAGAAGAAGCACCGGCUAACUCCGUGCCAGCAGCCGCGGUAAUACGGAGGGUGCGAGCGUUAAUCGGAAUUACUGGGCGUAAAGCGCGCGUAGGCGGUCUGAUAAGCCGGUUGUGAAAGCCCCGGGCUCAACCUGGGAACGGCAUCCGGAACUGUCAGGCUAGAGUGCAGGAGAGGAAGGUAGAAUUCCCGGUGUAGCGGUGAAAUGCGUAGAGAUCGGGAGGAAUACCAGUGGCGAAGGCGGCCUUCUGGACUGACACUGACGCUGAGGUGCGAAAGCGUGGGUAGCAAACAGGAUUAGAUCCCGAGUAGUC
rnacentral:rRNA from 1 species